GAUUUCAAAGAAAGCUCCUAGCGGGUUAUGGGAGGCUCACUAUUACCAAGCCCACCUCACGAUGAUACGAUAUCGGCUAGCAACAAUAAUAAUGAGAGGGUACAAGUACCCAUUCACAACAACCUCUUGUGAUUACCCAUCUUUUUGGCCUCUAGAAAAUAAUACCUCACGAUGAUACGAUGUUGGCAUUAUGUUUCUUAGUUAAGUUCUUUCCCACCAUGCCGGUUUUGCUAGGGGUUCAAGCAUGACCUCACGAUGAUACGAUGUUGGCCACACUCGUUGCCUACCUUAACCUCAUUAAAUGUUUUAAAUAAACUCCUCCUGAAUAUAAGCAUGCACUUUGUCACUUCCCCAUGAUAGGGUGAAGGCGGUGUACAACUCAUAAACGCUUGGAGCCUACCACGGUGGAAGGCCACGAAAAAGUGUUCUAAGCACUCUUACGCUUACAACUUAAUAUUGUUUGGUUGAGGGAUUUUAAGGUCUCAUCAAUUUUAUUUAUUUAAUCAUAAUCAAAUAAAUUGUCCUAUUAUAACUACUAGUCCAAAGUUAAUGAAAUUAGUAGCAUAUAAUAUCCCCACUAUUCGUUUUCAUAAAACAAAUCAAUAUCAAAACAUUUUUCAAAAUAUUGGAGAUAUAUAUAUAACUACUAAUUGUAUUCAUUAUAGUCUAGUAGCGUAUGAUACUCCCACUAUUUGUUUUAAGAAAAAAACAAAUCAAUAUCAAAAACGAAUUUUUCAAAUAUUGGAAGUAACUACUACUACUAAGGUUUUUGCAUUC
rnacentral:lncRNA from 1 species